rnacentral:tRNA from 1 species
GGAGAGAUUCCCGUAGUGGCCUAACGGGGGCCGGACUUGUCCGGUCGGGGCUCAUGUCCCACGUAGGUUCGAAUCCUGCUCUCUCCG